UUAAGCAUAUCAAUAAGCGGAGGAAAAGAAACUAACAAGGAUUCCCCUAGUAGCGGCGAGCGAAGCGGGAAGAGCUCAAAUUUAUAAUCUGGCACCUUCGGUGUCCGAGUUGUAAUCUCUAGAAGUGUUUUCCGCGUUGGACCGCACACAAGUCUGUUGGAAUACAGCGGCAUAGUGGUGAAACCCCCGUAUAUGGUGCGGACGCCCAGCGCUUUGUGAUACACUUUCAAUGAGUCGAGUUGUUUGGGAAUGCAGCUCAAAUUGGGUGGUAAAUUCCAUCUAAAGCUAAAUAUUGGCGAGAGACCGAUAGCGAACAAGUACCGUGAGGGAAAGAUGAAAAGCACUUUGGAAAGAGAGUUAACAGUACGUGAAAUUGUUGGAAGGGAAACGCUUGAAGUCAGACUUGCUUGCCGGAGCUUGCUUCGGUUUGCAGGCCAGCAUCAGUUUUCCGGGGUGGAUAAUGACGGUUUGAAGGUAGCAGUCUCGGCUGUGUUAUAGCUUUCCGUUGGAUACAUCCUGGGGGACUGAGGAACGCAGCGUGCUUUUUGCGAAAGACUCGUCUUUUUCACGCUUAGGAUGCUGGUGGAAUGGCUUUAAACGACCC
rnacentral:rRNA from 1 species